rnacentral:misc_RNA from 1 species
AAGAAUCGGAUUGUUUACUUGGGCAUGUCUCUUGUUCCUUCUGUCACAGAGUUAAUACUUGCAGAAUUUCUUUACCUUCAGUAUGAGGAUGAAGAGAAACCUAUUUACCUUUAUAUAAACUCCACUGGUACAACUAAGGGUGGUGAAAAGCUGGGUUAUGAGACAGAGGCUUUUGCAAUCUAUGAUGUUAUGGGGUAUGUCAAGCCACCUAUAUUUACCCUCUGUGUUGGUAACGCUUGGGGAGAAGCAGCUUUACUUCUGGCUGCUGGGUCAAAGGGAAAUCGAUCUGCACUACCUUCAUCAACUAUCAUGAUAAAACAGCCAAUAGGAAGAUUUCAAGGUCAAGCAACAGAUGUCGACCUUGCAAGAAAAGAAGUCAAGAAUGUGAAAGCAGAAUUGGUCAAUCUCCUGGCAAAGCAUAUUGGAAAAUCACCUGAACAGAUUGAAGCAGACAUCAGUCGCCCAAAAUAUUUUAAUCCAGCUGAGGCAGUUGAAUAUGGCAUCAUAGA